rnacentral:piRNA from 1 species
UGGAAAGUGAAAGGGCAAAGCCGGAAGU